rfam:Schistosoma mattheei strain Denwood, Zambia genome assembly, scaffold: SMTD_contig0019731
AUCCAGCUGACGAGUCCCACAUAGGACGAAACGCGCAUGAUUGGCUGCGU